rnacentral:tRNA from 1 species
GGCUGUGUUGUCUAGUGGUAUGAUUCUUACUUCGGGUGUGAGAGGUUUCGUGUUCGAUUCUCGACUUAACCC